UCUUCAUUUCACGUGUUCUCUCAACGCUCAGAGAGUCGAGAGAGCAUGUGAAAUGAAGAGA
rnacentral:pre_miRNA from 1 species